UUUUUAAAGUGGCUUGUAAAACAGCAAACAGCCAUAGCUUUUUGAGCUGUGAUUUAAUACAGGUCGUCAACGCACUUCUUUACAAGUACUACUUCCAUUGUAGUAGGAAAGAUACUUCAAACACUAUUGCAGACAUCUAGCUUACCAGUCUGCUGUAUGUCGGCUGAUCGCACACAAGCCUUUUAUCAGGGGAGCAAUGUUCAAAGGGUUGGACUCCAGAGAUACUCAGAAUAACAGAAAAUACAAACAGCUGCUACCUCUAGUAUUAUUCAGAUUUUAUUUUCUUUUUAUUGAUUGUAAUGUGCUACGGGGGGAGGGGGGGGGGAUUUUAAUAUACUACAUUCAUGUAGCCUGUUUGUGUUCACAUCCUUUCAAAUUAUCGUAAUAAUUACAAGUAAAUAUUAGCUAUACUUGUCAACAGAGCUACAUUUGUACAACUUACACUUUAUUUUCGUGGAGAUUCUUCACUGACACAAGUACAGUCUGUUAUAUACUGGGUAAUAUUUAAAUAUACUUCUAUUUUUGGUUUUUCUCUUGCUUACUCUACAUUCUGUUUGGGGUAACCAUUUGAAAAGAGGAGGAUGUGAAAUGGGGUUUUCAAAGCAUCACUAGACUUUAGUGCUUGGGCCAUAACUGUCAUUCAUGGGGGUUUGGGAAGGAGAGGGGUUGUUUGGGAGUUUUGUUUUGUGUAAAUCCACAGUUCUUUGUUUUGAGAAAGAAUUGAGGAAAAUAUACUUUCUCACUUUAAAUGUUGGCAAAUAUAUAUAAAAUAUAAAUAUAAAUAUAUAUAUAUAUAAAUAUGCACACUCUCAGGUACAUUUUGUUGUGUUUUAGAAAAUCUGUGGUUUGAAUAUUAGCAUUAUAAUUUUUUUUUCCACAACAGUGACUUUUUACAAAUAUAUGCCAUGGCAUUUUCUUAGGUGCCUCCAAUUUAAAUUCCCCCAGCACCUACCAAUUUGUGCUUCUUCCAUUUUAGAGACAUGUUAAAAAAAAAUAACCAUUCACCAUUAUUCUGGCCUCUUCUACUUUUUCUGUAUCAAAGGGCUUCCAUUCCAUGAAGGAGAAUGAGACCAUACUCACAAGACCUUACUGGCUGAUGAGAAACUUGAAGGUCAAAAACGAAUUGGAAAAGUGGAAAAAAAGGGUCAAUACAUUCAAGUUUUACUUUCUGUGGGGCCCAGAUCUAUAAUACCUUCAGCUGGGUUUUGUACAGAUCACCACUUCGCAGGUAGAAAGUGACUGAAAAACACGUACGUUGCUUUUGGAACUUUAAAGUAGAGAACUCCUCACAUAAAAACCUAAUUGUUCUAUAAACAUAUUUGCUUUUGGUUUUAAUUAUUUUAAAUGUUGUGGUAUUUUGUCUAUAGUAUAUAUUGUAAAAUGUAACUAUCCCACAUUGUUAUAAGCCCUUUAUGAUUAGGGUAAUUAUUUUUUUUCUGACUAGAGUUUUGAUCAGUCCAAAAUGGGGUAUUACCUUUCUGCUGACCAGUUUUGGAGGGACAUUGUCCUUUCUAAGAAUGCGGAGACAUCAACUUUUAAAAAGUGGAAAGCCUUGCUUUCUGGUGGAAUUGGAAUAGAAUCACUGCUUCGUGGUAAUUAGGUCCGUCUCUAGUCUCCCUGGAUCAGCAGUUGUUUAGACUUAUUGCCCUCUUUAAAAAAUCUGGUUUAUUUUAUUUUAUUUUAUUUUUAGCUGUCAACAGUGUGUUCUGUUAAAUCUAACAAAAUGUUUUUAAAAUGUGUUUGAUCUGUGUGACAACUAUACUGUUCUGUUUAUUUUUAAAAUUCCUAAAGUCCAAAAAUAUUUAUAUGCAGAAUUUUCUGUAUUGAAAAUAUGAAAAGGCCACAAAUUUGGUUAGUUACCACUGAGUUGUUCUAGUCUAAGCCUUUUUUGCUGCUUGUGUAUCAUUCUUUUUUCAAUGUAUAUAUAAUUAUGGACUGCAAAAAAAAAGGCAUUUAUAUGUCUAGUAGAAGGAAUAAGCUUAUUUAUAUUAUAGUGUUAACAAAGUCUGAUGUAUUCAAGUGACUUACGUUAUACCGCAUGCAAACACACAAGUGUACAUUCCAUCUAAGAAGGGAUGCCAUGCUAUUUGUUUUGAAGGUGUAAUUAAAGCUGUUCUCUUUUCAGUAGAGCAUAUGCCAGCAAGACCAGGAGGUGGGAAUUGUUUCUGAAGUCAAUUUUUUUAAAUGCAGAUUGUUGCUGAAAACCGGAAAACGUUCUGGAAAAGUAGAGCAUUUUCAGAACUGUGGGCUUUUUCUAAGAAAGAGCAGCAAAGGGGCAUAAAUGCUCUUUCACCCAAAGAUAUUUUGCUGGAAAAGAUAACAGCAGCAGUAACGACACCCCACCUGACUGAAACGCAGUGCAGUGCUAGUUGUGCCAAGCGAACUCUGGAGUGUAACACAACUGACCACUGGUUACAACCUCGCAUUGAUUUGCUCUGGUUUUACUAUAUUUGGAGAUUCAAAAGAGAAAUUCUGCCUUGCUCCGAUUCUGUGAAAUACAGAUACAUUUUAAUAACGUGGCAUCCCCCUACUGAAACUUUACACCAGCCAUGUAUGAACGUACAGUAUCUAAAUACUGUGUUGCAGUUGUGUUACGUGUAUUAAGUGUGAAUAACAUGUAGCACAGUUUCUUUUCACAGAACCUUAAAUUUCCGUAUCUUUUAAAAAUGUUUGCUUUUCAGUAUUUUGUAUAGUAAAUAUAGAUGGUUUUGACUAAAUGCUUUAUUUAUUUAACAGCAAAAACUGUGCCAAGAGAACCCCCUGUUAAUUAAAGUUUUACUAGUUCAGAAAGUAUAUUUCCUUCUUCUUGUUGUGGAUUUCAGGGGCUCAUUGCAAUUGCUGUCAGAGCUUGCAGAUCCCACUGAUGAAAGAGCUUCCAUUAACAGUUUUGGGAACAGGAUCAGGCCAUAAGGUAUGGACUGGAUGUGCUUUGGUUUUAUAUUUAAACUAUCAAGUUUCAAAAUUAAUUAUUUUUGUCCCCUACUAUUAGACCCGUGUUGAGUAACCAAUUUUUCAGCUUGUUAUUCAUUCUGAAAACUUGUUUCAAGUUGCUCAAAACUGUGGCUGAAUCAACAUUUAAAAUAGAUUAGUUUCUGGUUAAACAAAACACUUAAUUUCCAAGCAAAAAAAAAGAAAUAAUCAGAGUUGGGUAUAUUAUUACUAUUUAAAAGUAAAAUGGAGUGGCAUGAAGUCAUUUAGAAUGAAAACUCCAGCCUUUUCAAUUACAUUUUCUGUUUUCACACAAAGCAAUUCAGCAAAACUAAGCUGAUCAGCAAAUUUGCACCAUUUGCUGAAAAUAUUUCAACUGAAAAAUUUUGCUCAGCUCUACCGUCUGGAGUUUUUGGGAAGCCAGGAUUGCUAAGCCCUUCUCACAGCUUCAUGACCGCCUAACGCAAAGUAAACUAAGCUAAAGAUAGCAAAGUAAAAUCUCUCUCCCAAUGAAAUCUCUGGCGAGACUGCCAGAUUCCCACUGGCUUCAGGGUGCCUAUAAUUUCAUUCCAGGAAUGUGGGUUUGAAGUCUACAUAAUAGCGCAGACAGUGAUUUCAGUAUUUAUUUUUUAUGCAUCUUAGUGCUGGUGGUUUUGUAGUCGCCAACAUCAUUAAAUGGAAGUUUUACUGUAAGAGAUCAAGCUGGUAAAUUCAGAUUAGCUGCAAAUACUGUGCUUUAUACUCGUGUCAUUGUAGGACCUCAAGGCGCUUCCAAAUGUCUUUGAAACAUCCCUCCCCACGUCGUUUAGUCUCUGUUAGAAAUUAAAGACGCGGUUCUGCCCUUGGAGGCCGAAGCGCAGGUUCUCCUGGCGGUUUGACAGACCCGACCCUUAAGGCCACACCAAACUAAAAAACCACGUACGUGACCUCUGUAACUGCCUUCCUACUCCAGUCAUCCUGAGCACAGAACAGCAAAGUCUGGCUGGAGAAGGACCUUAAAGGUGUCUGUUUGUGUGCGUGUACAUAUACAUAUGUAUGUGUAUGUGUCCUCUGGCAGAAGUUAGAGAAUGGCACAGGACGGAUUCCGACAGCGGUGAUCUUUUAUAGAGGGAUAAAUACUGUGUUUGCUCAGCAGUCUGCAAGUUGCCACAUAAAUAUACGGAUAUGAUGAAUGCUUACUGUUCCCCAUAUGUCAUUGUGUGCCUCAAUUACUGAAUGGCAGAUUUCAUUUGUAUUCCAAUUAACAGGGAAGUUAGGCCCCUUGGGGCCUAAGUUAUACUUGAGAAAAAUUCAUCGUGCUAGAAAAUUUGCAAAAACAUUCACCAUAAUUUUUGCCUGGAGUAUAGGCAAGAAUGUUCAUGUUUGGAAAUGUGUCAGCUAAUCAAGUCUCACCUUUAAUUACCUUGAUGCAAUUCAUCAAGAUCUGAAAAUACUUUUUCAAACAUGACUUAUUCAUGGUUUUGCUGGGAACCGACUCAUAUUCAGCAUCCUGUUAGUUGUCAGACUUCUUUUUUUUUUUUUUUUUUUAAAUGUACCAAGCAGAAACAUGUUUGAAAAUCCAUGAAAUAAAAAUUGAACUUAAUGUGUUUUCUAAAUAGCUUCUGGAAGAAAAUUUCUUUUCUUUUCUAAUGCACUUAGCAGCAAAACCAGCCUCAAUUUAUCACAUAAUGAUUUAUUUUCUUUGCAUAUUUGACAGCUGUUCAGUUGAUUUGACUUGGAAGGAGCUGUUUUGGGAUUUUUUUGGCUUGUGUACAUUUAAAAUGUGCUCAAAAUGGGCUAAAAGAAACAGACACAGAAAAGCAAAUAACUUUGUAUUGAAAUUAUUCAGUAGCCAUUGAACUGCAUCUUAUUUGAAGUUUGGAUUAUAGCUAUUAAAUAAUGAGGCUUUCAAUGAUGCUUUAAUUUACUGUAAUAUUUCUCUAUAAUUCUAGAUAAUUCGACCCUACUGAGCUAAAAUGAUAGAAAUCAUAUGCAUGAGGUCUUCUAAUUUCUUCUUUUUUUUUGUUUUUUGAAUAGCAGAAUUUAAGAACUAUUCAGAUGGAUUACUGUGAGGGUUAGAGCCGUGAAGAAAGACUGGCAAGGGAAGGAUGGAAAGAUUUGAGAAGUGUAGGGGUAGCACAGAACUGUCCAACAGAAGGGCGGCAGGAGACAGACCAGAGGUAGGAAAAUACUGUAUGGAGAAGCUGUAUUCAUAUUGCAUUUUUGAAUCUCUUAUGGUACUUCUAUUGCUCAUAAAAAAGCAACAGUAGUUCAUAGAAUGCUUUUCACUGAGAAAGCUUGAGAGACUUUCUAGAAGAGGUCAAUCUCCAGUGUGCAGUGGGAGGCGCGAGGAAGGAGAGCUGUAGAUAAUCACGGGCUGUGACAAAUAAGAAAUGAAACCCUGGUUUCCUGGGUCCCUGUCCAAGCUGAAGGAAAUUUUUCAGAAGCAGAGGCGUUUCUACAGAAGUUUUCAAUAUUCUCUAGAGCAUGUUUUGAAUAGUAGCAUCAGUUCUUUUUCUGUUAGAUUACAAGCACGCAUAAGUCGGUCAAAUGUUGCCCAAACAUUCAGUAUCUAUUGUGAUUUUUCUGAAGACUAAGCACUAACUAUGCCUUCGAAAUCUACUGACACUAAGUAUAGUCUUUAAAUCACAAGAAAUGGCAGACUAGACCUAUUGGUUGUCUCAUCAGCCUAGUUUUUCAGGGUCUGAGAGUAGGAAGUUCCAGAAGUUUCAUACGAACGUUGGAGACAUAAUGCUAAGGGCCUUCGUAAGUGUGGCAAUGGGAAAACAUUAACAGUAUUAGGCAUACUGGUAAUUAUGUGCACUGUGCUUUCUGGGUUUUACGACAUGCUUACGCAGUGUGGUUUGUGUCUUCCUUCGAGUGCCUGUCCAUAGAGACAAAGCAGCUUGUAAUUGCUACCAGCCGAGAGAUGUAUUCUUUUGGUGAGCCUGGACUUUGUGGAUGAAGAUCCGGGGUUCAGAUCCUUCUGGUGCUGAGUGCUUAUUCUUGCACGUAAUCCUUCCCACUCUCUUCUAGUCACAAAGUAUAGCACAUUGGGGCUUUGUGAAUUUUCUAAUAAAACACCUACAAACUGGGCCAAAUUUGUCUUUAGCUUCACAAGUGGAAGCCAGAAGAGCUCCCCAUGCAUGUCUUGGAAUUUGGACCUUCAAAUGCAGUUUGCUAUAUGAGUCAUCAUUUUUUCUUGUACUAAUUUCAGAUAUUUGAUAAGCUCUUUUUAUGGUUUACAAGUUUAAAAAGACAAAUAAAACUUUGUAGAUUAAAACGUU